GACCAUGAGUUUUGGUUCAU
rnacentral:snRNA from 1 species